rnacentral:rRNA from 1 species
GAUGAACGCUGGCGGUAUGCCUAACACAUGCAAGUCGUACGAGAGUUUUUAACUCUAGUGGCGGACGGGUGAGUAACACGUGAGAAUUUGCCUUUAGGAGGGGGACAACAAUUGGAAACGAAUGCUAAUACCCCAUAUGCUUUCGAGUGAAAUGGAUUUUAUCCGCCUAGAGAGAAGCUCGCGGCUGAUUAGCUUGUUGGUAAGGUAAGAGCUUACCAAGGCGACGAUCAGUAUCUGGUUUUGAGAGGACGAUCAGACACACUGGAACUGAGACACGGUCCAGACUCCUACGGGAGGCAGCAGUGGGGAAUUUUCCGCAAUGGGCGAAAGCCUGACGGAGCAAUACCGCGUGAGGGAAGAAUGCCUAUGGGUUGUAAACCUCUUUUUCAGGGAGGAAUAAAAUGACGUGUACCUGAAGAAUAAGCAUCGGCUAACUCCGUG